AACCAACUUUUCAUCUUCUUCCUACUAAUCCAGAAAUCCAUCGGUCAUUCCUCUUAAAUUUCUUCUUAAAUCAAUCGAUCUAUCUUCAAUACCACCUUUUCUCUUCGAGAACAGUUGAGGUUCGAUUAUAAAAAGGUAAAAAGUUUAUGGAGGUUUCGUUCAAGAAGGGAUUAGUAAUUCUGGUCUUGAUCUAAAUCUUUAUAUAUAAAAAAGCGUGAAUAAGAUUGUGAUGGAGUCAAAAUAUGGUAAAAAGAAGUCCAGCAGUAGUAGUAGUUCCUUAUUUUACAAAGCUCUCCUCGGUUACAGCAUUGAAGACGUUCGCCCCAACAGUGGAAUCAAGAAAUUCAAAUCUCUGUCUACUCCAACUGCGUUAAGAGGCCAUCCUGAGUUGUCGCGCACAAAGUCUUCACUAUAGUUAUAGCUGCUUUCUUUAAUUUCCAGUUUAUAAUUUACUUUCUGUUAAGCUCUAUUUCUGCUUGGUUCCCCAAUCCCAUCGUUUUCUCAUCCUACUACAAGUUCAGACAACAAGGUGACAUGGCCUUAUCUGCAAUCGGUUUCGAAGUUACGAGAAGCCGCCCGAGGUCUCUUUCUUUGAGCCUAGCAUCUUUCAAGACUCCAAGGGACUGGGUCUCCGUACUCUGACCAGGUCCCAGCUUGACGAAAUACACACUCCUGCUGCCUGCGAGAUUGUUUCUUCUCUCUCCAACGAUCACUUCGACUCUUGCGUCCUCUCUGAGUCCAGCUUCUUUGUCUACCCCUACAAAGUCAUCAUAAAGACUUGUGGCACCACCAAGCUCCUCCUCUCUAUCCCGCCUCUCCUUAACCUGGCUGGUUAGCUCUCUCUGAGUGUCAAGUCCGUCAAGUACACUUGUGGCUCCUUCCUCUGCCCUGGCGGCCAGGAAUAAUCAAGUGGAGACAAAAAUUGUUUAGAAGACUCUAACUGUGCCAAGUUAAAGCUGAGGAAAGUCGCCGUGGUCACUUGAUUCUCCAGCACGAGUCCGAGAGAUUCGUUUUCCAAGCUGAGCCCCUCAUAACUCGCAAGAUUUCUAGCACAUUUUUCAUAUUUUGUUACUUUUUGUUGCAUUUAUUUGGAAACAAAGAGCAAAUCGACAAGAGUCAUAACUCACAAGAUUCCUGUAAUUAUCAAUCAAAAGAAAAAUGCAUACAGGUGAAUAUAAUAAUCCCAUGGUAUUUACAAAAAUCAAAUUAAUCCUUACUAAUAAAAGGGACCUUUUGAGGCUCCAUAGAGCGUCCACAUCAGCAAAAAAAAUUCUCCCGAAAGAUGACACGUGGCAUAAAAUAUAGUUUUACAUUUUAAUAUUACUAAUUUUCAAAAAUUAUAAAUAAUAUGAAACAUACAACAUAAAAAAUAGAAAAACUACAUUGAACAUAUGUAAAAUUACCAUUUUUCACUUUAAAAAAAAGACGGCUUAAUUCCAUAAUGUAAUAUCUAUCCUAUACUAAAAGGAAGAUAUAGAGUGAUUUAAGCCUAUCCACGUAGGCAAAUAUAUUCCCCCAAUCAAAACAUUUGGUUAAUACACGUUGGAUUUACUAAACUAAAUUACUGAUUUUAUAUUAUAAUAUAUAGAUUUUGUGAGAUAUAAUUGAGACGAGAGGGGUUGUUAAAAAAAAAAAUUGAGACGAGAGGUAGCUCUUUGGCUUCCAAGUGUUUCUGUUCUUCUUCAUCAUCCCUUGAAACGUCAUCUCCACACCCUACCAAGCCAUCUAAGGCUAAGAUCCGCUAUUGAAUCUGCUGUGGCGCCGCCGGCGGAUCUUCCUCAGUGAGCUAGGUUCCGGUUGAGAAUCAAGUAUCGGAAUCUGUAGAGACAGAGCUUAGAUCCUAUAAUCCCCAAGCUAUUGAUGCGGAUUUAUGCUCUGAUCCCCAAGCUGUCCUCUGACUCAGUGGCUUUCAUCUACUCUUCAUCGGCCUCCGUCUCUCUCUCUCUCCUAUUCUUCUCCAGGCCACAUCGACCCUCUCCGAUCAAGGUUCCAGGUUCCCUUUGUAGCCAAUAGCUCUUGAGAUCUUUGAUUUCACUUUGCUCUUUUUUUAGGUUCAAACUUCUUUUGUUUCCUUAUUUUUCCCAGAUCUGCUUCCAUUGAUUGAAUAAUCCUAAUUGCAGAAAACUCUACCCAGGAGCCGAUCUAAUUGUAGCUACUGAAUUGCUUAGACAGAAAGAGAACGUGUAGGCAGAAUCUCUUCGAUUUCACUAAUUAUGGAAACUCAUGAAUGGUUUCUUCUCUGUUGUGUGUGUGUUUUUGGUUUAAGUCCGGAUCUGCUGGGAUUGUAGUUUUUAAUUAUAAGGAUUGUAAUAACACGUUGCAGAAAACUGAAGCUGUCUUUUAUUAUUUUCUCUUCUUCCGGCAAUUUUGUUUCUAAUGUUUUUGUGGAUUUAGGCGAAGUGGUGACGGAUGGUGAGAAGUCGAAGGCGGGGAAGAAGCGAGCUAAGGCUCCAUGGGCGAAACCACUUUCUCAGUAUUCUCAGGUGGGUCAAGUUUCAUCAGUGAUUGUUUUUUUUUAUUAUUGGUUUGAUCUAAUCGUCUGCGAGUUGCGCCUUCAGGGUUUAGCAGUGUGCAGUUCAUGUAAUAUUUUUAGUAAAGGUUUGGUCUUUCAGUUCAUGAGGAACGAGUUCAGUUGUCUGCAUGUCCGGUUCUUUUAUAGUUUUUUACCGACAAAACUCAGAAGUAUGUAAUGUUUGUGUCUUUGUGACUUUUUGUGGUCUGCAAGUUACGCAUUGAGGGUUUAGCAGUGUGCAGUUCGUGUAAUAUUUUUUGUUGUUGAAGGUUUGGUCUUUCAGUUCAUGCCCAACGAGUUUAGUUGGCUUCAUGUUUGGUUCUUUUAUAUUUUUCUGACAGACCACACGAUGUGAUCUAAUGAACAAUAUUUGGGUCUAUUGCAGGCAUACUUUGAUGCGCCCGGGGUUUAGUAAAUUUAAAUUUUUUUAUAUUGGCCAAUUUGUAACCACUGUUAUUGUUUUCUAUAUUCAUAUUCAUGAACGGAGUUUUAGUGAAGGAGAUUUCCUUGAAAUAAGCAGAUGAUGCUCAAUCACCAAAAGCUUACACAACUGAGGAUUACCUCAAGAUCACUGAAGAGCAGCUCAAAGCUUCGUCUCCUGGUAAAAGCCAAAGAGAGGAUCAAAUUCAGACUCAAGAACUUGCUGUACAAAGCCAGCCUGAAGUUACAUCGAGAGAGACCAUGGCUUCAUCUCCUCCAUGGCUGUAGUUAACGUAAGUGAUCAUCAGUUUUAUGUGGAGGUUUGGAUCAAGAGAAUCUAUAUCCUUCUGAUCACUAUGAUCACUAAAAGGAAGAUAUAGAGUGAUUUAAGCCUAUCCACAUUUUGUGAGAUAUAAUUGAGACGAGAGGGGUUGUUAAAAAAAAAAAUUGAGACGAGAGGUAGCUCUUUGGCUUCCAAGUGUUUCUGUUCUUCUUCAUCAUCCCUUGAAACGUCAUCUCCACACCCUACCAAGCCAUCUAAGGCUAAGAUCCGCUAUUGAAUCUGCUGUGGCGCCGCCGACGGAUCUUCCUCAGUGAGCUAGGUUCCGGUUGAGAAUCAAGUAUCGGAAUCUGUAGAGACAGAGCUUAGAUACUAUAAUCCCCAAGCUAUUGAUGCGGAUUUAUGCUCUGAUCCCCAAGCUGUCCUCUGACUCAGUGGCUUUCAUCUACUCUUCAUCGGCCUCCGUCUCUCUCUCUCUCCUAUUCUUCUCCAGGCCACAUCGACCCUCUCCGAUCAAGGUUCCAGGUUCCCUUUGUAGCCAAUAGCUCUUGAGAUCUUUGAUUUCACUUUGCUCUUUUUUUAGGUUCAAACUUCUUUUGUUUCCUUAUUUUUCCCAGAUCUGCUUCCAUUGAUUGAAUAAUCCUAAUUGCAGAAAACUCUACCCAGGAGCCGAUCUAAUUGUAGCUACUGAAUUGCUUAGACAGAAAGAGAACGUGUAGGCAGAAUCUCUUCGAUUUCACUAAUUAUGGAAACUCAUGAAUGGUUUCUUCUCUGUUGUGUGUGUGUUUUUGGUUUAAGUCCGGAUCUGCUGGGAUUGUAGUUUUUAAUUAUAAGGAUUGUAAUAACACGUUGCAGAAAACUGAAGCUGUCUUUUAUUAUUUUCUCUUCUUCCGGCAAUUUUGUUUCUAAUGUUUUUGUGGAUUUAGGCGAAGUGGUGACGGAUGGUGAGAAGUCGAAGGCGGGGAAGAAGCGAGCUAAGGCUCCAUGGGCGAAACCACUUUCUCAGUAUUCUCAGGCAUACUUUGAUGCGCCCGGGGUUUAGUAAAUUUAAAUUUUUUUAUAUUGGCCAAUUUGUAACCACUGUUAUUGUUUUCUAUAUUCAUAUUCAUGAACGGAGUUUUAGUGAAGGAGAUUUCCUUGAAAUAAGCAGAUGAUGCUCAAUCACCAAAAGCUUACACAACUGAGGAUUACCUCAAGAUCACUGAAGAGCAGCUCAAAGCUUCGUCUCCUGGUAAAAGCCAAAGAGAGGAUCAAAUUCAGACUCAAGAACUUGCUGUACAAAGCCAGCCUGAAGUUACAUCGAGAGAGACCAUGGCUUCAUCUCCUCCAUGGCUGUAGUUAACGUAAGUGAUCAUCAGUUUUAUGUGGAGGUUUGGAUCAAGAGAAUCUAUAUCCUUCUGAUCACUAUGAUCACUAAAAGGAAGAUAUAGAGUGAUUUAAGCCUAUCCACAUUUUGUGAGAUAUAAUUGAGACGAGAGGGGUUGUUAAAAAAAAAAAUUGAGACGAGAGGUAGCUCUUUGGCUUCCAAGUGUUUCUGUUCUUCUUCAUCAUCCCUUGAAACGUCAUCUCCACACCCUACCAAGCCAUCUAAGGCUAAGAUCCGCUAUUGAAUCUGCUGUGGCGCCGCCGGCGGAUCUUCCUCAGUGAGCUAGGUUCCGGUUGAGAAUCAAGUAUCGGAAUCUGUAGAGACAGAGCUUAGAUCCUAUAAUCCCCAAGCUAUUGAUGCGGAUUUAUGCUCUGAUCCCCAAGCUGUCCUCUGACUCAGUGGCUUUCAUCUACUCUUCAUCGGCCUCCGUCUCUCUCUCUCUCCUAUUCUUCUCCAGGCCACAUCGACCCUCUCCGAUCAAGGUUCCAGGUUCCCUUUGUAGCCAAUAGCUCUUGAGAUCUUUGAUUUCACUUUGCUCUUUUUUUAGGUUCAAACUUCUUUUGUUUCCUUAUUUUUCCCAGAUCUGCUUCCAUUGAUUGAAUAAUCCUAAUUGCAGAAAACUCUACCCAGGAGCCGAUCUAAUUGUAGCUACUGAAUUGCUUAGACAGAAAGAGAACGUGUAGGCAGAAUCUCUUCGAUUUCACUAAUUAUGGAAACUCAUGAAUGGUUUCUUCUCUGUUGUGUGUGUGUUUUUGGUUUAAGUCCGGAUCUGCUGGGAUUGUAGUUUUUAAUUAUAAGGAUUGUAAUAACACGUUGCAGAAAACUGAAGCUGUCUUUUAUUAUUUUCUCUUCUUCCGGCAAUUUUGUUUCUAAUGUUUUUGUGGAUUUAGGCGAAGUGGUGACGGAUGGUGAGAAGUCGAAGGCGGGGAAGAAGCGAGCUAAGGCUCCAUGGGCGAAACCACUUUCUCAGUAUUCUCAGGUGGGUCAAGUUUCAUCAGUGAUUGUUUUUUUUUAUUAUUGGUUUGAUCUAAUCGUCUGCGAGUUGCGCCUUCAGGGUUUAGCAGUGUGCAGUUCAUGUAAUAUUUUUAGUAAAGGUUUGGUCUUUCAGUUCAUGAGGAACGAGUUCAGUUGUCUGCAUGUCCGGUUCUUUUAUAGUUUUUUACCGACAAAACUCAGAAGUAUGUAAUGUUUGUGUCUUUGUGACUUUUUGUGGUCUGCAAGUUACGCAUUGAGGGUUUAGCAGUGUGCAGUUCGUGUAAUAUUUUUUGUUGUUGAAGGUUUGGUCUUUCAGUUCAUGCCCAACGAGUUUAGUUGGCUUCAUGUUUGGUUCUUUUAUAUUUUUCUGACAGACCACACGAUGUGAUCUAAUGAACAAUAUUUGGGUCUAUUGCAGGCAUACUUUGAUGCGCCCGGGGUUUAGUAAAUUUAAAUUUUUUUAUAUUGGCCAAUUUGUAACCACUGUUAUUGUUUUCUAUAUUCAUAUUCAUGAACGGAGUUUUAGUGAAGGAGAUUUCCUUGAAAUAAGCAGAUGAUGCUCAAUCACCAAAAGCUUACACAACUGAGGAUUACCUCAAGAUCACUGAAGAGCAGCUCAAAGCUUCGUCUCCUGGUAAAAGCCAAAGAGAGGAUCAAAUUCAGACUCAAGAACUUGCUGUACAAAGCCAGCCUGAAGUUACAUCGAGAGAGACCAUGGCUUCAUCUCCUCCAUGGCUGUAGUUAACGUAAGUGAUCAUCAGGUACCAGUUUAUAAGAGUUCUUUCUAAAGAUAUACGGAUGUUUGUGUUGGUUGUUUAGUUAAGGGACUACGACGUCGUACAAGUGGAGUUGGUUGUUUAGUUAAGCUACUACGCCGCCGUACAAGUGGAGUUCUGGUGAUUCUGAUUCCAGUUCAUGUGAACUUAGCGGAGAAGAGAGCUUUGGAGAAGCUGAUGGUCUCUUGCUCUGCGGCGGUGACACAUGACAGGAGAAGUUGAGGAGGGGUUUGUGUAACUCGCUCCUCCAAGUUGUCUCGAGUCAGUCGCACUAGAGACGUUUGGGACUAUGUUGGUCAUCUAAAUCCUCUUCCCAACUCAUAUAUUUGUCGCUGAUUGCACAAAUUCGUAACCUCUCUUUGACAGGGAAAACUGCCAUACGUAUAGGUGAUAUCUAUAGUUUUUAUAUGUGAAUUUUUUGAUGGAAAACAUUUUUUUUUGCAGGCCAAAGCCCUUGCAAGUGGAACAACCAUCAUUACAAACAAAGAAGAAUCUAAGAGAGAGCAGAAUAAUAUGGGAUCUGAGGGGUCAGGGGUUGCACCUAUGCCAGCAAUGGGCACAGAGUACAGCCAUGUGCUCAAAUGGCUAAGCUACAAGCUAAAAUAGAGAAAGAGGCGGAUGAGGGGAAGAGUAUACAGCAGAAGUGGCAAUGUUUUAUUUUAUUCCAAGGAUCCCAUUAUCACAUUCAAAUAUUAAACACACAUACAGUAUGAUUCUGUCUUUCUUAUUCUUUUCUCUUUACAGCUAUAAGAUGGUAUCAGCAGUUCAUCUCUGCAUCUGUUAGUUAGAUUGACUUACCAUUCAGUGAUCCUCUAAACUUUUUUUUACUAAACUUGUGUUUUCUUUCCU